GAUGAACGCUAGCGGCAGGCUUAACACAUGCAAGUCGAGGGGCAGCACUGGUAGCAAUACCUGGUGGCGACCGGCGCAAGGGUGCGUAACGCGUGAGCAACAUGCCCGUAUCAGGGGAAUAAUCCAGGGAAACUUGGUCUAAUACCCCAUAGUAAAUAUUAAAGGCAUCUUUAAUAUUUUAAAGCUUUGGUGGAUACGAAUUGGCUCGCGUGACAUUAGCUGGAUGGUAAGGUAACGGCUUACCAUGGCUACGAUGUCUAGGGGUUCUGAGAGGAAGGUCCCCCACACUGGAACUGAGACACGGUCCAGACUCCUACGGGAGGCAGCAGUGAGGAAUAUUGGACAAUGGAUGGAAAUCUGAUCCAGCCAUGCCGCGUGCAGGAAGACGGCCCUAUGGGUUGUAAACUGCUUUUAUAUGGGAGCAAUAAGGCCUACGUGUAGGUUGAUGAGAGUACCAUAUGAAUAAGCACCGGCUAACUCCGUGCCAGCAGCCGCAGUAAUAC
rnacentral:rRNA from 1 species